rnacentral:lncRNA from 1 species
CGCCGCCGCCGCCGCCGACGCCGCCGCCGCCGCCGCCGCCGCCGCCGCGGUUCCUUACAUGUCGUGGCCCCGGUGGCUGCCGGCGCUGCCGACCGCCGUCCGUCGCUCCGGCAUCCCGAGCCGCCUCCCGCCGUGCCGGCCCUGCGCGCAGGUGUUCAGGAAAAAAAUGCACAAAAUCCUGACUGACCGGAAUAAUUCAUGAAGAAGGGGCUGGAUCCGUGGGUCAGAGAACACAGGACCAGUUUGCCAUCCCAAGGCCGAAGUCUGAUGUCUCGGAUUUGGCCCUGCAUUGCCCACUCCCGCUGGAUCUUGUCCAUUCGAGGGACAAAACGUCCUGACACCUUCCUGAAGAAUGGGAAGAGAGGAGAUUCUGAAAACACAGAUUGCAAUACUGUACCAGAGGCCGAGGAAACCUAUACCUGGAGGGAUUGCCCCACACCAACAGGAGCACCAAGGAUGCUGGAGCCGGAGGCACGCAGGCCCAAGAAGGGUAGAAAUACCAGCAAUGACCAAGGGCCACCCAUAGCAGUUCCCCGGCUGUCCGUCCAGGACCCACCGAAUGGAGGACACGCAGCGGCUCUCCCUUUACAACCACAAAAGCUGAAACAAAGGCCAGAGAAGCUGACGAAGCAGCACGAGUCCAGAAGCUUUCAGAAUCACCCUGAGAAAAUUGUCUAUUGA